GGGUGAGUAACGCGUAAGUAAUCUACCCUGAUAUCUGGGAUAACAAUUCGAAAGGAUUGCUAAUACCGGAUACGCUGAUUUAUCAGGAAAGGUGGCCUCUUCAUGAAAGCUACUGUAUCGGGAGGAGCUUGCGUACCAUUAGCUAGUUGGUGGGGUAAUGGCCUACCAAGGCGACGAUGGUUAGCGGGUCUGAGAGGAUGAUCCGCCACACUGGAACUGAAACACGGACCAGACUCCUACGGGAGGCAGCAGUGAGGAAUAUUGCGCAAUGGGGGAAACCCUGACGCAGCGACGCCGCGUGGAUGAUGAAGGCUUUCGGGUCGUAAAAUCCUGUCAGAUGGGAAGAAAUGCUAUGAGGCUAAUACCCUUGUAGUUUGACGGUACCAUCAAAGGAAGCACCGGCUAACUCCGUGCCAGCAGCCGCGGUAAUACGGAGGGUGCAAGCGUUGUUCGGAAUUACUGGGCGUAAAGCGCGCGUAGGCGGCCUUUUAAGUCAGAUGUGAAAGUCCACGGCUCAACCGUGGAAGUGCAUUUGAUACUGGGAGGCUUGAGUACUGGAGGGGAUGGUGGAAUUCCCGGUGUAGAGGUGAAAUUCGUAGAUAUCGGGAGGAAUACCGGUGGCGAAGGCGACCAUCUGGCCAGAUACUGACGCUGAGGUGCGAAAGCGUG
rnacentral:rRNA from 1 species